GAAAACAUAUUCUCUCUUGAGUGGAUCCUGAGUACGACGGAGCACGUGAAAUUCCGUCGGAAUCUGGGAGGACCAUCUCCUAAGGCUAAAUACUCUCUAGUGACCGAUAGUGAACCAGUACCGUGAGGGAAAGGUGAAAAGUACCCCGGAAGGGGAGUGAAAGAGAACUUGAAACCGUGUGCUUACAAGUAGUCAGAGCCCGUUAAUGGGUGAUGGCGUGCCUUUUGUAGAAUGAACCGGCGAGUUACGAUCUGAUGCAAGGUUAAGCAGCAAAUGUGGAGCCGCAGCGAAAGCGAGUCUGAAUAGGGCGUUGAGUAUUUGGUCGUAGACCCGAAACCAGGUGAUCUACCCUUGGUCAGGUUGAAGUUCAGGUAACACUGAAUGGAGGACCGAACCGACUUACGUUGAAAAGUGAGCGGAUGAACUGAGGGUAGCGGAGAAAUUCCAAUCGAACUUGGAGAUAGCUGGUUCUCUCCGAAAUAGCUUUAGGGCUAGCCUCAAGUGAUGAUUAUUGGAGGUAGAGCACUGUUUGGACGAGGGGCCCCUCUCGGGUUACCGAAUUCAGACAAACUCCGAAUGCCAAUUAAUUUAACUUGGGAGUCAGAACAUGGGUGAUAAGGUCCGUGUUCGAAAGGGAAACAGCCCAGACCACCAGCUAAGGUCCCAAAAUAUAUGUUAAGUGGAAAAGGAUGUGGCGUUGCCCAGACAACUAGGAUGUUGGCUUAGAAGCAGCCAUCAUUUAAAGAGUGCGUAAUAGCUCACUAGUCGAGUGACACUGCGCCGAAAAUGUACCGGGGCUAAACAUAUUACCGAAGCUGUGGAUUGUCCUUUGGACAAUGGUAGGAGAGCGUUCUAAGGGCGUCGAAGCAUGAUCGCAAGGACAUGUGGAGCGCUUAGAAGUGAGAAUGCCGGUGUGAGUAGCGAAAGACGGGUGAGAAUCCCGUCCACCGAUUGACUAAGGUUUCCAGAGGAAGGCUCGUCCGCUCUGGGUUAGUCGGGUCCUAAGCUGAGGCCGACAGGCGUAGGCGAUGGAUAACAGGUUGAUAUUCCUGUACCACCUAGUAUCGUUUUAAUCGAUGGGGGGACGCAGUAGGAUAGGCGAAGCGUGCUGUUGGAGUGCACGUCCAAGCAGUAAGGCUGAGUGUUAGGCAAAUCCGGCACUCAUAAGGCUGAGCUGUGAUGGGGAGAGGAAAUUGUUUCCUCGAGUCGUUGAUUUCACACUGCCGAGAAAAGCCUCUAGAUAGAUAACAGGUGCCCGUACCGCAAACCGACACAGGUAGUCAAGAUGAGAAUUCUAAGGUGAGCGAGCGAACUCUCGUUAAGGAACUCGGCAAAAUGACCCCGUAACUUCGGGAGAAGGGGUGCUCUUUAGGGUUCACGCCCAGAAGAGCCGCAGUGAAUAGGCCCAAGCGACUGUUUAUCAAAAACACAGGUCUCUGCUAAACCGUAAGGUGAUGUAUAGGGGCUGACGCCUGCCCGGUGCUGGAAGGUUAAGAGGAGUGGUUAGCUUCUGCGAAGCUAC
rnacentral:rRNA from 1 species